CUUGCUCCCCGAAAGAAAAGGAGUGGCGAACGGGUGAGUAACACGUGGGUAACCUGCCCAUCAGAAGGGGAUAACACUUGGAAACAGGUGCUAAUACCGUAUAACAAUCGAAACCGCAUGGUUUCGGUUUGAAAGGCGCUUUUGCGUCACUGAUGGAUGGACCCGCGGUGCAUUAGCUAGUUGGUGAGGUAACGGCUCACCAAGGCAACGAUGCAUAGCCGACCUGAGAGGGUGAUCGGCCACAUUGGGACUGAGACACGGCCCAAACUCCUACGGGAGGCAGCAGUAGGGAAUCUUCGGCAAUGGACGCAAGUCUGACCGAGCAACGCCGCGUGAGUGAAGAAGGUUUUCGGAUCGUAAAACUCUGUUGUUAGAGAAGAACAAGGAUGAGAGUAGAAUGUUCAUCCCUUGACGGUAUCUAACCAGAAAGCCACGGCUAACUACGUGCCAGCAGCCGCGGUAAUACGUAGGUGGCAAGCGUUGUCCGGAUUUAUUGGGCGUAAAGCGAGCGCAGGCGGUUUCUUAAGUCUGAUGUGAAA
rnacentral:rRNA from 1 species